UGUGGGAGCGAGCUUGCUCGCGAUGGCGGCGUGUCAGGCACUAUUUAUGCUGCUGAACCACCGCUAUCGCGAGCAAGCUCGCUCCCACA
rnacentral:misc_RNA from 1 species